CAGAGGGUGCAAGCGUUAAUCGGAAUUACUGGGCGUAAAAGCGCGCGUAGGUGGUUUUGUUAAGUUGGAUGUGAAAUCCCCCGGGGCUCAACCUGGGGAACUGCAUUCAAAAACUGACAAGCUAGAGUAUGGUAGAGGGUGGUGGAAUUUCCUGUGUAGCGGUGAAAAUGCGUAGAUAUAGGAAGGAACACCAGUGGCGAAGGCGACCACCUGGACUGAUACUGACACUGAGGUGCGAAAGCGUGGGGAGCAAACAGGAUU
rnacentral:rRNA from 1 species